rnacentral:snRNA from 1 species
GGGGGGGGGGGGUUGCGGGGUGUCAGUUUCUGCUUUGUCCUCAGCUUGCCUUCUGUUCCCCCUUCACUUUGAUCACAAGGGUUGUCCCCUUCCUCCCUCACUGCUCCCCAUGGGUCCCUCCUGAAAUUGCACCGCUGGGUCUAAGAGGACGACCUUCCCCAGUGGAGGAAGACCAUUCUUCCAUCGAGGGUAUAUGGGUAGGAGCACUCCCCUACUAGAAGCUCCAAACAAGCUCUCAAGGUCCAUUUGUAGGAGAAGGGAGGCUAGUCAAGCUUCCAGGACUCCCAGCACAGCCCAGACUGUGCAUGGCAGUCUG